CACGGCCUCACCCCAUUUCCCCCUGUGAAAUGCGGGUGCGGUGCCAUGGUCGUGCCGCAGAAGGGGCUGCUUGUGCUCCGAGCUGGGGGAUGUGAAAAGAGGAGCCAUAGUAACAUCAUAUUUCAUUGCUGAAAGCUGCAGCACCCAAAGGCACCGGCAUCGCAAAGGGACAUCCAUUGGUCCUGCUCCACUCCUGCCUGCAGAAACGAGGAUUUUCGGAAUGCACAUCCAACAAAACACCUGACCAUCCCAAAGCACCUGAACGUUGAUGCAGAUCCACCCCUUUUGGACAUGGGCCAUGAAGGGACUGGAAAUCUGAGCAAUCUGAGCGCUGUCGAUCACGGCAGGGCUCGCUGAGGACACCGUGCUGCCGUCCCUUGGCAGCCACCUUCUCCCUGGGGUCCCAUGAAAACCCCCGGCAGCCCGGGGUGCUAAGUCACUGAGAAACGUGUACCGAGGGAAGCAGCGAGCCAUGCAAAUGCCGUUACGUUUUACAACCACCAGGCAGCUUCCUUGCCCGUCAGGCCUUGCAGAAUUGCAUUUCGCUCUUGUUGCUCCCUUCCAAACCGCCUCUGGCAGUGCUGGCAGGGGAAAGGGCUCAAAACGUGUCCUGCUACUCAUCCACCUCUCCUUGGGCUGAAAGUAAACCCAGACAGACCAUGCCGGAGUACAAACAUGCCAUGCAGAAGAGUAGGUGGCCGCUCAGCUCCCAGGAAAGCCACGAUUGCUUCCCUCUGCUCUGAAAACCUCAACUGCACAGAAGCGUGGCUUUCAUCUUUCAGGCCCUGGAAUCACCCUUCUUUUAAUACAAGAUCAAUUUGAUUUUGCAAGCUGCACUGGUCAGUCCUGUAGAUCCCCAGCACAGCUCACAAAGGUUCCCAACAAUCUGAGUAAACCUGCCUUAAAUUACUUUUGCGGCCUGAGAGGUUCUUUCAUCACAAACAACUGCAGGAACUUCCCAGUCACUCGCAAACAGAAAACGGACCCCUUUUCACUGCAUAGCUGAUUUGUUACAAACUGCUCAGCAUUUGGCUGUUAAUCCCAGCUGCUAGGUCAUCCAAGAUAAGUUUGUCUUCCCAUAGCUGUUGCAUUUCUGCAUUUCUUAAAGAAAUUGCAAGACCAGUCACUGACAAUCAUCAGUGACAAACACUGCAAUGCUACUGUCCUCUAAAUUUCUCUUGUCAGCUGGAGCUGGGCUGUGUUUAGAUGCCCUAAGAAAUACCACUCCCAGAAAAUAACUUAAUUAUUGAACUAUUUUCUGUGGUUUGGGUGGUGGGGCUGCUCAUGGCUGUAUUUCUCUGCUGCUGCUGUCUGUUCACGCUUGCUCUCCAGCCCCCAGCUGCUGGUACAGCACGGACAGCAGUACAACAGCAUCUUCAAGUACAUCCACGCUGCGGUGGGGACUGAGCGCAACAGGUUUUACUCCACCUGGUCUAUACUGCAGCACUGGGGUGCGGUGAGCCCUUCUCACCUCAUCUAGGGAUUUUUCAUCCCGGUACCCAAGGCCAGCAGCUGUUUCAUAACUGUACUUCUUGUGCCGUGCCACCAUCUAGUGGUAACUCAACUAGAAACUCUGCAUCCACAGAGUCAAAGCAGCAUCAGUGGAUCCUCCAGCGUCCGUUGGCCAGGACACCAAGCUCUGCUCGGGGUAACGCGGAUGCAAAAUGCCAUUUAAGCGUGUAAGGCUGGUGGGAACGUGCUGCAGCUGAAGCAUAAAACCAGCAGAUAACCAUGAUGAGGUUUCUCCCAUGUGUCAUCCUGCUCUGCUUCUCACUAGGCUGCUCAGAGCCAACGGUGGGAUUCCCCGGCUCUGCUCCUUUCUGCAGACCACCUGCACUCGUGUAUGUAUGUGUGUACGUGUGACUAUGUCUGUCAGGCUCCCAGAUGGGCACCAGUUAUAGCCCAGGUCUGAAGAACAGAUGCAAAGAGGCUGAAAAGCUGCUGUAGGCCAGGAGAGGAUGAGAUGGGCUCCU